GGAUAAAAGGUACUCCGGGGAUAACAGGCUGAUACCGCCCAAGAGUUCAUAUCGACGGCGGUGUUUGGCACCUCGAUGUCGGCUCAUCACAUCCUGGGGCUGAAGUAGGUCCCAAGGGUAUGGCUGUUCGCCAUUUAAAGUGGUACGCGAGCUGGGUUUAGAACGUCGUGAGACAGUUCGGUCCCUAUCUGCCGUGGGCGCUGGAAGAUUGAGGGGGGCUGCUCCUAGUACGAGAGGACCGGAGUGGACGCAUCACUGGUGUUCGGGUUGUCAUGCCAAUGGCACUGCCCGGUAGCUAAAUGCGGAAGAGAUAAGUGCUGAAAGCAUCUAAGCACGAAACUUGCCCCGAGAUGAAUCUUCCCUGAGACUUUGAGUCUCCUGAAGGAACGUUGAAGACGACGACGUUGAUAGGCCGGGUGUGUAAGCGCAGCGAUGCGUUGAGCUAACCGGUACUAAUGAACCGUGAGGCUUAACCUUACAACGCCGAAG
rnacentral:rRNA from 1 species